rnacentral:rRNA from 1 species
UGGGGAAUUUUCCGCAAUGGGCGAAAGCCUGACGGAGCAAUACCGCGUGAGGGAAGACGGCCUAUGGGUUGUAAACCUCUUUUCUCAGGGAGGAACUCAAUGACGUUACCUGAGGAAUAAGCAUCGGCUAACUCCGUGCCAGCAGCCGCGGUAAGACGGAGGAUGCAAGUGUUAUCCGGAAUCACUGGGCGUAAAGCGUCUGUAGGUGGCUUAACAAGUCAACUGUUAAAUCUUGAAGCUCAACUUCGAAAUCGCAGUCGAAACUGUUAGGCUAGAGUAUAGUAGGGGUAAAGGGAAUUUCCAGUGGAGCGGUGAAAUGCGUAGAGAUUGGAAAGAACACCGAUGGCGAAGGCACUUUACUGGGCUAUUACUGACACUCAGAGACGAAAGCUAGGGUAGCAAAUGGGAUUAGAUACACCAGUGUAGUC